CGGGGCGGGGCGGCGGCGGGAACGCGCCUGCGCGCGCGUCCCCCCUCCCCGGGAGCUGAGGGAAGCAGACAGAGAUGCUGAGCUGGGCUUCUCUACCAGGGGGUUUGUCCACCUUUCCCUCGUAAGAAAACAGCCCAGCAGAUGUCACUUUAGGAAGAAGAACUUCCAGAUUUGAAAUUCUCAGC